rnacentral:rRNA from 1 species
CGCCUUGCCAGCCCGCUCAGAACUCAAAGGAAUUGACGGGGCCCGCACAAGCGGUGGAGCAUGUGGUUUAAUUCGAUGAUACGCGAGGAACCUUACCUGGGCUCGAACGUAAGAUGACUGUAGGUGAAAGCUUACAUCUCUUCGGAGCAUUUUACGAGGUGCUGCAUGGUUGUCGUCAGCUCGUGCCGUGAGGUGUCGGGUUAAGUCCCAUAACGAGCGCAACCCCUACCUUUAGUUGCCAUCAGGUUAAGCUGGGGACUCUAAAGGAACUGCCUACGCAAGUAGUGAGGAAGGCGGGGAUGACGUCAAAUCAGCACGGCCCUUACGUCCAGGGCUACACACGUGCUACAAUGGCCGAUACAGAGGGCAGCUACCUGGUGACAGGAUGCAAAUCUCCAAAGUCGGUCUCAGUUCGGAUCGGAGUCUGCAACCCGACUCCGUGAAGUUGGAUUCGCUAGUAAUCGCGCAUCAGCCAUGGCGCGGUGAAUACGUUCCCGGGCCUU